UAUCACGUUGAAACACCGGUUCUAGUACAAUCACAGAAGUUAAGCAACGACGAUCCUGAUCAGUACUUAGAUGGGCGACCACUUGAGAAUAUAUAGUGCUGUA